GGUCAUGAGCGUCAACGUCAAGCCCUGGCUGGUUGACCGGCAACCCUCGCAUCGCGGUGGGGUGCCCCAGGUGACGACCGGAUCGGGAAUGUCCCGAUAAGCGUGAUGG
rnacentral:ncRNA from 2 species